ensembl:lncRNA
CCCUGAAGGAACCUGUGAUGCAAGGGGGAGUAAACCCCCCGAUUCCUAUAAGAAGGCUGACGUGGAGCAGUGGUUCUCAGCCACGAAGCCCAUAGAUUCACCUGGGGAGCUCAAAACCAGCUGCGUGGGGCUGCAGCCCAGGCCAAGAAACUCAGCAUCUCUGGCAUAGUGAGAAGCGGACUCUGUGUUGAGGAGUAGAAUUCUGGAUUCAAAUCUGUCACCUAGUGGGUAUGCAACCUUGAGCAGCUUCUAAACAGUUUUGAACGUAAAUCUCAUCUGUAAAAUGAAGGUAUACUCACUUCUGAGGGUAGUGGGGGGAACUAAUGACAACAAAUGAAUUGUCUCUGGCACAUCCGAGGCCUUCAAUAGAUAACUGCAUGGGGCCCACGGGAGUAGAAUGUAUGCCUUGAGCAUUUUUCCUAUUCAAUAUUUCAGACCAUUUGUUCCUUCAAAGAGAACAGAAAACCAUUCCCCUGCUCACAUGCUGGAGCAGGAUGGCUGAUGGUGUGAGAACGGAUGGUACACCAUUAGAAAUGUUCUUUCGUAGUAUGACUUCAUCAACAGUUCAUAGACUAGCAGCAGCUUUGUGCACAAGGUCGAUGGGCAUCUCUUACUUGGUGACAACCUCCAGUUAAAACUGAGUGGUUACAAGUUAGGUUCAGCUCUAUUUCCACCCAUCAAACACCUUUCACCUUUUUGUUGUUGUUGAGGUGGCGUCUCACUCUGUCACCAGACUGGAGUGCACUGGCGUGAUCUCGGCUCACUGCAACCUCUGCCUCCUGGAUUCAAACAACUCUCCUGCCUCAGCCUCCCGAGUAGCUGGGACUACAGGUGUGUGCCACCACGCCCAGCUAAGUUUUGUGUUUUUAGUAGAGGCAGGGUUUCACCAUGUUGGCCAGGAUGGUCUCCAUCUCUUGACCUCAUGAUCCGUCCACCUCAGCCUCAUAAAGUGCUGGGAUUAGAGGCGUGAGCCACCGCACCCAGCCCACCUGUCACCUUUCUCAGAGGAAUAAGAAUAGUGACCUUAGCUUAAGAUUCUUCUGGGACAACCGAUUUUAUAUUUGGCAUGUUCAAAGCAUACAAAUUCAACUUUCUUCAAAGCAUACAAAUUCAACUUCCUUAUUGAAAAUCAUUGGCCGGGCGCGUGAUCAGCAUUUUAACCCAGACCAAAGCCUGACUCCAGAGUUUGACAGGGGUGGGAAACAUCAGGAGUUGACCAAACCUCUUUAUUCACCUUCUGGACAUUCAACUAGACCACUUUUUCCAGGCUCCCUUGCCUCCAGUAUGACCAUUCAACUGAAUUCUGUCCAAAGGAACAUAGGCAGAAGUAACCACAGGUGUCACUUCCAUGAAAGGCCCAUAAACAGUGCCACCUGAUCCCCUCUCUCUCCUUUUUUCUGGCUCCUGGAGAACAUGGAGACUAAGAAGGACAGGACCCUGAUCCUGAGUGUAUGGCAAACACACCUGACAGCAACAGCUUAAGCAUACUCUGAGAAUGACCCUGUAGGGCAGACACAGCGGAAUAUGUGCUCAGAGUUCCAAGCUCAGGAAUCUGGGAGUGGCCAGCCUGGAGGUUCAUUUUUUAUCUAUGAUGAACAUCUGAACCCCCAGCCUGUCCCAAGGACCACGAGCCAUACAGGGGAUCAAAGCCCUUUGUUUUGCGUUAAAUGAAGGUUGUCAGGUGGAGAUUGUUAAGGGGAGGGUGCGAAG